AGAACGAACGCUGGCGGCAUGCCUAAUACAUACAAGUCGAACGAACUCUUCGGAGUUAGUGGCGCACGGGUGCGUAACGCGUGGGAAUCUGCCCCUUGGUUCGGAAUAACAGUUGGAAACGACUGCUAAUACCGGAUGAUGACGAAAGUCCAAAGAUUUAUCGCCAAGGGAUGAGCCCGCGUAGGAUUAGCUAGUUGGUGAGGUAAAGGCUCACCAAGGCAACGAUCCUUAGCUGGUCUGAGAGGAUGAUCAGCCACACUGGGACUGAGACACGGCCCAGACUCCUACGGGAGGCAGCAGUAGGGAAUAUGGACAAUGGGCGAAAGCCUGAUCCAGCAAUGCCGCGUGAGUGAUGAAGGCCUUAAGGUUGUAAAGCUCUUUACCCGAGAUGAUAAUGACAGUAUCGGAGAAUAAGCCCCGGCUAACUCCCGCGCCAGCAGCCGC
rnacentral:rRNA from 1 species